rnacentral:tRNA from 1 species
GCGCCCGUAGUUCAAUUGGAUAGAGCGUCUGGCUACGGACCAGAAGGUUGUGGGUUCAAAUCCUACCGGGCGCA